rnacentral:rRNA from 1 species
UACGAAGGGGGCUAGCGUUGUUCGGAAUUACUGGGCGUAAAGGGCGCGUAGGCGGCCUGCUAAGUCGAACGUGAAAUCCCUGGGCUCAACCCAGGAACUGCGUCCGAUACUGGUUGGCUUGAAUCCGGGAGAGGGAUGUGGAAUUCCAGGUGUAGCGGUGAAAUGCGUAGAUAUCUGGAGGAACACCGGUGGCGAAGGCGACAUCCUGGACCGGUAUUGACGCUGAGGCGCGAAAGCCAGGGGAGCAAACGGG